AGCGGCGGAUGGGUGAGUAACACGUGGGGAACCUGCCCCUAAGUCUGGGAUACCAUUUGGAAACAGGUGCUAAUACCGGAUAAUAAAGCAGAUCGCAUGAUCAGCUUUUGAAAGGCGGCGUAAGCUGUCGCUAAGGGAUGGCCCCGCGGUGCAUUAGCUAGUUGGUAAGGUAACGGCUUACCAAGGCGACGAUGCAUAGCCGAGUUGAGAGACUGAUCGGCCACAUUGGGACUGAGACACGGCCCAAACUCCUACGGGAGGCAGCAGUAGGGAAUCUUCCACAAUGGACGCAGGUCUGAUGGAGCAACGCCGCGUGAGUGAAGAAGGUUUUCGGAUCGUAAAGCUCUGUUGUUGGUGAAGAAGGAUAGAGGUAGUAACUGGCCUUUAUUUGACGGUAAUCAACCAGAAAGUCACGGCUAACUACGUGCCAGCAGCCGCGGUAAUACGUAGGUGGCAAGCGUUGUCCGGAUUUAUUGGGCGUAAAGCGAGCGCAGGCGGAAAAAUAAGUCUAAUGUGAAAGCCCUCGGCUUAACCGAGGAACUGCAUCGGAAACUGUUUUUCUUGAGUGCAGAAGAGGAGAGUGGAACUCCAUGUGUAGCGGUGGAAUGCGUAGAUAUAUGGAAGAACACCAGUGGCGAAAGGCGGCUCUCUGGUCUGCAACUGACGCUGAGGCUCGAAAGCAUGGGUAGCGAACAGGAUUAGAUACUCCUGGGUAGUCCAUGCCGUAAACGAUGAGUGCUAAGUGU
rnacentral:rRNA from 1 species